GAGUUUGAUCCUGGCUCAGGAUGAACGCUGGCGGCGUGCCUAAUACAUGCAAGUCGAACGAAGCCUUCGGGCUUAGUGGCGGACGGGUGAGUAACACGUUGGUACCUACCCCGAAGUGGGGAAUAACUGCCCGAAAGGGUGGCUAAUACCGCAUAAUACCGCAAGGUUAAAGCAGUAAUGCGCUUCGGGAGGGGCCUGCGUCCCAUUAGCUUGUUGGUAGUGUAAUGGACUACCAAGGCGACGAUGGGUAGCUGGAUCGAGAGGUUGACCAGCCACACUGGGACUGAGAUACGGCCCAGACUCCUACGGGAGGCAGCAGUAAGGAAUCUUCCACAAUGGACGAAAGUCUGAUGGAGCAACGCCGCGUGCAGGAUGACGGCCUUCGGGUUGGUAAACUGCUUUAUAUGGGUAAGAGUAUGACGGUACCAUAUGAAUAAGGACCGGCUAACUACGU
rnacentral:rRNA from 1 species